rnacentral:rRNA from 1 species
CUUCGGGGUGUGACUGCGUACCUUUUGUAUAAUGGGUCAGCGACUUAUAUUCUGUAGCAAGGUUAACCGAAUAGGGGAGCCGGAGGGAAACCGAGUCUUAAUUGGGCGUUAAGUUGCAGGGUAUAGACCCGAAACCCGGUGAUCUAGCCAUGGGCAGGUUGAAGGUUGGGUAACACUAACUGGAGGACCGAACCGACUAAUGUUGAAAAAUUAGCGGAUGACCUGUGGCUGGGGGUGAAAGGCCAAUCAAACCGGGAGAUAGCUGGUUCUCCCCGAAAGCUAUUUAGGUAGCGCCUCGUGAAUUCAUCUCCGGGGGUAGAGCACUGUUUCGGCUAGGGGGCCAUCCCGGCUUACCAACCCGAUGCAAACUGCGAAUACCGGAGAAUGUUAUCACGGGAGACACACGGCGGGUGCUAACGUCCGUCGUGAAGAGGGAAACAACCCAGACCGCCAGCUAAGGUCCCAAAGUCAUGGUUAAGUGGGAAACGAUGUGGGAAGGCCCAGACAGCCAGGAUGUUGGCUUAGAAGCAGCCAUCAUUUAAAGAAAGCGUAAUAGCUCACUGGUCGAGUCGGCCUGCGCGGAAGAUGUAACGGGGCUAAACCAUGCACCGAAGCUGCGGCAGCGAACGUAUCACCCAAGACAACUUUGCGGAGUUGACGAUUGACGGAGCGAAGCGACGUCAAAGCGUUCAUUAAAGUCGAGUUGGCUUAGGGAUACGUUCG